GGGAUUGCCUCAGUAACGGCGAGUGAAGCGGCAACAGCUCAAAUUUGAAAGCUGGCUCUUUCAGGGCCCGCAUUGUAAUUUGUAGAGGAUGCUUCGGGUGCGGCGCUGGUCUAAGUUCUUUGGAACAAGACGUCAUAGAGGGUGAGAAUCCCGUAUGUGACUAGCUGCCUGUGCCUGUGUGAAGCUCCUUCGACGAGUCGAGUUGUUUGGGAAUGCAGCUCAAAAUGGGUGGUGUACUUCAUCUAAAGCUAAAUAUUGGCCAGAGACCGAUAGCGCACAAGUAGAGUGAUCGAAAGAUGAAAAGCACUUUGGAAAGAGAGUUAAACAGUACGUGAAAUUGUUGAAAGGGAAGCGCUUGCAAUCAGACUUGCGCGGCGUCGAUCAACCUGGGUUCUCCCUGGUGCACUCGGCGCUGCUCAGGCCAGCAUCAGCUUCAGCGGUUGGAUAAAGGCCUAGGGAACGUGGGUUACUUCGGUGACUGUUAUAGCCCUAGGUGCAAUGCAGCCUGCUGGGACUGAGGACCGCGCUUCGGCUAGGAUGCUGGCGUAAUGGUUGUAAGCGACCCGUCUUGAAACACGGACCAAGGAGUCUAACAUCUAUGCGAGUUUUUGGGUGUUAAACCCAUAAGCGUAAUGAAAGUGAACGGAGGUGAGAACCCUUAAGGGUGCAUCAUCGACCGAUCCUGAUGUCUUCGGAUGGAUUUGAGUAAGAGCAUAGCUGUUGGGACCCGAAAGAUGAUGAUCUAUACCUGAAUAGGGUGAAGCCAGAGGAAACUCUGGUGGAGGCUCGCAGCGGUUCUGACGUGCAAAUCGAUCGUCAAAUUUGGGUAUAGGGGCGAAAGACUAAUCGAAUCAUCUAGUAGCUGGUUCACGCCGAAGUUUCCCUCAGGAAAA
rnacentral:rRNA from 1 species